rnacentral:rRNA from 3 species
CACAUGACUCUCGGCAACGGAUAUCUCGGCUCUUGCAUCGAUGAAGAACGUAGCAAAAUGCGAUACCUGGUGUGAAUUGCAGAAUCCCGUGAACCAUCGAGUUUUUGAACGCAAGUUGCGCCCGAGGCCUUCUGGCUGAGGGCACGUCUGCCUGGGCGUCACGC